rnacentral:rRNA from 1 species
AUUGAACGCUGGCGGCAUGCCUUACACAUGCAAGUCGAACGGCAGCGCGGGGCAACCUGGCGGCGAGUGGCGAACGGGUGAGUAAUAUAUCGGAACGUACCCUGGAGUGGGGGAUAACGUAGCGAAAGUUACGCUAAUACCGCAUACGAUCUAAGGAUGAAAGUGGGGGAUCGCAAGACCUCAUGCUCCUGGAGCGGCCGAUAUCUGAUUAGCUAGUUGGUAGGGUAAAAGCCUACCAAGGCAUCGAUCAGUAGCUGGUCUGAGAGGACGACCAGCCACACUGGAACUGAGACACGGUCCAGACUCCUACGGGAGGCAGCAGUGGGGAAUUUUGGACAAUGGGCGCAAGCCUGAUCCAGCAAUGCCGCGUGAGUGAAGAAGGCCUUCGGGUUGUAAAGCUCUUUUGUCAGGGAAGAAACGGGUCUUUCUAAUACAGAGGCCUAAUGACGGUACCUGAAGAAUAAGCACCGGCUAACUACGUGCCAGCAGCCGCGGUAAUACGUAGGGUGCAAGCGUUAAUCGGAAUUACUGGGCGUAAAGCGUGCGCAGGCGGUUUUGUAAGUCUGUCGGGAAAUCCCCGGGCUCAACCUGGGAAUGGCGAUGGAGACUGCAA